GUCAUGCUUGAGCACUUUUUCAAUGGGCUCCCCAAUGACAAGGCGACGACGCAUUCGUAUGUCAUCCAUAUCAACUUUCGAUGCCAUUUACUGCGCCUACCAUGGUGACCACGGGUAACGGGGAAUCAGGGUUUUAUUCCUGAGAGAGAGCCUCAGAAAUGGCUACCACAUGCAAGGAAGGCAGCAGGUG